UAACUUCAUACAAGCUGGUGUAAGUGAAUAUUUAUGAUCUCUCUCUCACCAUCACUAUCAUUGAAAUUGACUAAUUUUCUGUCUCAUGUGGCUUCUUAAUUUGGUGACCUGGCAGUAGUGCUAUAAUCUGGUCCUGGCCUCUAGUGGUUCCAUCCAAUUAUAAGAAAAAAGUUGAAAUCUUUCUAGUAAACAGUUAGAGGAGCAGCUAAUUUUCAAAAUUCACAUUUGUCUGGAAAAUGUAAAUCUGGCAACAAGCAAUGCAGAUUAUUCAGAAAGUUUUAAUUAUAACAAGAGUGGAAAUUCUGCAGCUCUAAUUGGAUGAGGCUGUAAAAUGCUUUAUAAAAUCCUUCACAACAUUCAACUCUGCAUUUGUGUUGAUUAAUCUAGGAUACAUAGACUUUGCCAUUACUUGGAUGUGAAAAAGAAGCAUGCUAUGCAUGGUUGCUUUAUACUGACACAAGUGCUUGUUUCUUGCAAUGCCUACCUGCUCUCCCAAUGUUGUAUUUAUGGUAUCAGAUAUCCUUUAUGUGAAGUAAGUUUAAAUAAUAAAUCCUAUUCAUUUCCUAAUGUUUGUAGGUAAGAA
rnacentral:misc_RNA from 1 species